rnacentral:lncRNA from 1 species
GACUUCGCGAGGAGGGGUAGGGGAAGAAACGGCUGAAGGGGAGUCAGGGGACUGAACGGCUGUGUUAGGGGCGUAGGGUAAUCAGGGUUUAGGUUUAGCUUAAUAUUAGACUUUGGGCCUUAUUGUCUGGGCCUAUUUUAAGAUAUAAAAUGCUAGCCCAUAAUCUCAAAAUAUAUAUUCAAAGCCCAUAUUUUAUAGAAUUUUUUGUGGAUAUUUGACGGGUAAUUGGCGGGUAUUUUUCGCGGGUAAACGGGUUUCGCGGGUAUGGAUAGUAAGUAUCCAAACCCAUACCCACGAACUAAAUGGAUAGUGAAUUGCAACCACGAAACUAUCCGUGGAUAUCAAAUGGUAUCCAAACCCACCCUAAUG